UGUUCUUGAAGGUCUUUGGAAGGUUUCUGAAGUUGCAUGGCACUUCCAGACGCUUUCAAAGUCAUUCAUGAACAAUCUUCAGGAAAGAAUGCCUGGUGUAACCAGAAGCUACCUCGGAUAGGCUGUGUAGGCCUCUCAACUGCAGAAGAAAAUGCCUGUAGGAGAGCAGAGAGUGAGAGGCUAUUCUCAAAUAAAGCAUCCUUCCCAAGACUUCACCAUUCAGCAGCACUGCUCUGGCUCCCCAUCUUUUAGUUUUCAACAAACAAUGGAGACAUUCAUGGGAAGAAAACGUGAAUAUUCCUGCAACAAUUUCUAUGAAAUCUGGAUUAAAGAAUUCUAAAGCAGUAUCUAUGGAAGCAGGAAAAAAAAUUGUCAAGGUCUGUGUGUAUUCAACAAAUGAAAGUAAAAUAAUAUAAAAGCUGCAGCUAAUAUAAAAGAUUGUUCGGUGCUGCAUUUUCUCUUUCCAGCUAUUACAGGAAUAAAAUUAUCCUUGAAGAUCAAAAUUCUUUUUUUCAGAACUAAUACAAUUAAGCUUUAUUACACUGCUUCAAGUACAUUUCUCUCCUC